rnacentral:rRNA from 1 species
UACAGAGGUCUCAAGCGUUGUUCGGAUUCAUUGGGCGUAAAGGGUGCGUAGGCGGCGCGGUAAGUCGGGUGUGAAAUCUCGGGGCUUAACUCCGAAACUGCAUUCGAUACUACCGUGCUUGAGGACUGGAGAGGAGACUGGAAUUUACGGUGUAGCGGUGAAAUGCGUAGAUAUCGUAAGGAAGACCAGUGGCGAAGGCGGGUCUCUGGGACAAGUUC